rnacentral:misc_RNA from 1 species
AAAGUCGUAACAAGGUUUCCGUAGGUGAACCUGCGGAAGGAUCAUUAUCGAGUGUUGGGCCUCACGGUCCGCCUCCCACCCUUUGUGUAUUGACCUGUUGCUUCGGCGGGACGUUCCUUCUGGACCGUCGGCUUUGCGGGCGAGUUCCCGCCGAAGGAUUUAAACUCUUUACUUUAUUGUCUGAGUCUUAUUUUAAAAAAUCAAAACUUUCAACAACGGAUCUCUUGGUUCUG